rnacentral:rRNA from 1 species
AUGAACGCUAGCUACAGGCUUAACACAUGCAAGUCGAGGGGCAGCAUUUUAGUUUGCUUGCAAACUGAAGAUGGCGACCGGCGCACGGGUGAGUAACACGUAUCCAACCUGCCGAUAACUCCGGGAUAGCCUUUCGAAAGAAAGAUUAAUACCGGAUAGCAUACGAAUAUCGCAUGAUAUUUUUAUUAAAGAAUUUCGGUUAUCGAUGGGGAUGCGUUCCAUUAGUUUGUUGGCGGGGUAACGGCCCACCAAGACUACGAUGGAUAGGGGUUCUGAGAGGAAGGUCCCCCACAUUGGAACUGAGACACGGUCCAAACUCCUACGGGAGGCAGCAGUGAGGAAUAUUGGUCAAUGGGCGCGAGCCUGAACCAGCCAAGUAGCGUGAAGGAUGAAGGCUCUAUGGGUCGUAAACUUCUUUUAUAUGGGAAUAAAGUUUUCCACGUGUGGAAUUUUGUAUGUACCAUAUGAAUAAGGAUCGGCUAACUCCGUGCCAGCAGCCGCGGUAAUACGGAGGAUCCGAGCGUUAUCCGGAUUUAUUGGGUUUAAAGGGAGCGUAGGUGGAUUGUUAAGUCAGUUGUGAAAGUUUGCGGCUCAACCGUAAAAUUGCAGUUGAAACUGGCAGUCUUGAGUACAGUAGAGGUGGGCGGAAUUCGUGGUGUAGCGGUGAAAUGCUUAGAUAUCACGAAGAACUCCGAUUGCGAAGGCAGCUCACUAGACUGUCACUGACACUGAUGCUCGAAAGUGUGGGUAUCAAACAGGAUUAGAUACCCUGGUAGUCCACACAGUAAACGAUGAAUACUCGCUGUUUGCGAUAUACAGUAAGCGGCCAAGCGAAAGCAUUAAGUAUUCCACCUGGGGAGUACGCCGGCAACGGUGAAACUCAAAGGAAUUGACGGGGGCCCGCACAAGCGGUGGAGUAUGUGGUUUAAUUCGACGCAACGCGAAGAACCUUACCAAGGCUUGACAUAUACAGGAAUAACUAAGAAAUUAGUUAGCUCUUCGGAGUCUGUAUACAGGUGGUGCAUGGUUGUCGUCAGCUCGUGUCGUGAGAUGUUGGGUUAAGUCCCGCAACGAGCGCAACCCUUACUGUCAGUUACUACGCAAGAGGACUCUGGCAGGACUGCCGUUGACAAAACGGAGGAAGGUGGGGAUGACGUCAAAUCAUCAUGCCCCUUAUGACCUGGGCUACACACGUGCUACAAUGGCUGGUACAACGAGUCGCAAGUCGGUGACGACAAGCUAAUCUCUUAAAGCCAGUCUCAGUUCGGAUUGUAGGCUGCAACUCGCCUACAUGAAGUCGGAAUCGCUAGUAAUCGCGGAUCAGCACGCCGCGGUGAAUACGUUCCCGGGCCUUGUACACACCGCCCGUCACACCAUGAGAGUUGGGAAUACCCGAAGCCUGUGAGCCAACUAAUUUAUUAGAGGCAGCAGUCGAAGGUAGAGCCAAUGAUUGGGGUG